rnacentral:misc_RNA from 1 species
UCUCCGUUGGUGAACCAGCGGAGGGAUCAUUACAGAGUUUUUAACUCCCAAACCCAUGUGAACCUACUAUUUUGUUGCCUCGGCGGGUUCUGCCUCCCAUCUCGGGAGCAGGCUCAAGCCCGCCGGCGGCCCUUCUAAACUCUUGAUUUUAUUACGUAUCUCUUCUGAGUUAUUCAAAACAAAAUGAAUCAAAACUUUCAACAACGGAUCUCUUGGUUCUGGCAUCGAUGAAGAACGCAGC